rnacentral:rRNA from 1 species
GGGCAGCGAGGGCGUAGCAAUACGCCUGUUGGCNACCGGCGCACUGGUGAGUAACACGUAUGCCACCUGCCCCCUACAGGGGUAUAACCCGUAGAAAUGCGGACUAAUCCCCCAUAGUCCUGGGUGCUGCAUGGCAUUCAGGGGAAAGGCCAGCCGGUAGGGGAUGGGCAUGCGGCGCAUUAGCUAGUUGGCGGGGCAACGGCCCACCAAGGCGACGAUGCGUAGGGGUUCUGAGAGGAAGGUCCCCCACACUGGCACUGAGACACGGACCAGACUCCUAC